GUCUUCUUUGAUCCUUGAAUUCUAUGGAGCUCAAAUGGACAACAAAGCUUUGUGGAACUAGUUAAGUGUUAGCAUAAAUAUCUAGCCUUUAUCAUGUUGAGCCUCCUGAAUAAAUGUUACUCUCUUUGGUAGGAUCAUAAAUUUAUUUUUAUAUUUUCAUUUUUAUAGGACAAGAAGAUAUUUGUUUUAUUUUUAUGCCACCACAGUGAAUGUACUUAUGGGUUCUAUGCCACGAGCAUACUCACAUGGGGCUUACUUAUUUUUAACAUUUUUAUUUUGUUUUCAAGAUAGCAUGAUUAACUAACAAGCCAUUUAAGGAAAGUAAAUAAUUUAAGGGAAAAGGGAAUGCAGAAAGGAUAAAUAUGGAUAACUACCGAUUUUACCUUUCGACAAGGGUUCAAUGUUUUAAGUCUUCUGAACAAGACUUCACAGUGUUCAUUCUUUAGGUGCAUCAUUUGAUUUAGGUGUGGACCUUAACGUCUGCACCUCUUGAUACGGUGUCACCCACGUUCUUCGUUUGCCCAGCAGUUCGAAGUGCGGCUUUGGCAGCAUCCUUCACUUGGUGGAAUCUGGGAGUUGUAAAACUCCACCAUGUUUUGUUCCAAGUGUACCUACUCAUAGAGACAAAGCAGAGAUCAAGUGCAUGGGUCCUGUUGGUGGAAAACACCAACUGAACCAAAAGUAUAUUUAUUCUUCUCUAUCCUUAAGCAUAGGGAGGAAGACAAAGUUGAUGGGUGAUAAGUUCAUGAGUGUAGCAUUUAAAACAUUUGUCAGAUCAGAUCGCUCAACCUUAUGGAAAGAUAAUCUAUCUAUGUAUAUGUCUUUUCUUAAUAUCUUCCCAAAGAUUGAAUGUGC
rnacentral:lncRNA from 1 species